rnacentral:lncRNA from 1 species
AGAAUGAAUUAGUUGAUACUUUAAGCACAGUAACCAACUUCUUGGGCUUUCCUGGUGUCUUAGCAGUAAAGAAUCUACCUGCCAAAGCAGGAACUGCCAGAGAUGUGGGUUUGAUCCCUGGGUCAGGAAGAUACUGUGGGGAAGGAAGUGACAACUCACUUCAGUAUUCUUGCAGGGAAAAUCCCAUGGACAGAGAAGCCUGGCAGGCUACAGUCCAUAGGAUCAUAAAGAGUCAGACACGAAUGAGCGACUAAACACGCACACACGACCAACUUCCAUUCCAGAGAAUGGAAUGGAAGAUUUUAGGUAGAGUUCAUUAUUCUCUUGUGUCCCUUGGCUAGUGAGAUAACAGAACUGCUAUUCAUGUUGGCCACUUGUUUACCUAUAGAGAAAAGGGCACAUCUUAGGUAAACAGAAACCUCUACUCAAAAACAAAGGAAAAAAAUUUUGACUCAUCACUUUGAGUGGAGUCUUAUAAUGGCCAACUUUUAAUAUGUAUGACUCAAAAAGAGCAAAUACAUGUUUCAGAAAAAGAAUGAGACAUCCUCCAGUCCUUUGGCAGGUCUUGGUCACAAAUAUAUAUGAAUUAUAUUCCUACUUUAUAUGCAAAGUGUUCAAUGGAUGGUCAUCUGAAUCUCCACCUCUCUUUCUCUCAUUUUCUUUUAAAAUAGAAAGAACUUUUGUUACUUCAAAUGAAAAGACACUUAUGGCAACUGGGAGAAGGAAGCUGGGCAGUGUGACAGUAGUUAUAGAUGUUCUCAGUAUUCCAGAAUCCAAAUACCAUGGAACUUUAAAAUAA